rnacentral:lncRNA from 1 species
AAUUUACUGUUUUAGACACAUGGCAUGUGGUAUCCCACUACACUUGGUAUAAGCUGUCAUACUACAUGUGGCAUGUGAUAUCCCACUAAUUAGCUAUUUUAAACAUGUGACAAGUGGUAUGACACUGUAUUGAUGUAUGUGAAAUUUAUCGAGUCUUUCAGUUAUCAGAUAAUGUCAAG